ACAAAUUCCACAACCCCAAAACCUGCCCCCUCUAUGACCACUACGAAUCGUGUGGCCAGCCCCAAAGCGUCAACAAUACCAACAGUCAAACCUGCCAUGCAGUCUCCAGUUCAAUCGACAAAGAUCAAAGCGCCAACUGCUCCACCACCUUCACCUUUGACUCUCCCACCUCCCCAGUUGAGAGGUCAAGCUGAGCUUGAACCCAAGAUCCCUGCUGAGGCAGAGCAAAAGACUGUGCUCGUUCAAAAGAUGAUUGAAAAGCCCAGGGGGCUUUUUGGUGCCCCUGAAAAGGAUGUUGGUGACAUUCGCGACCCC
rnacentral:lncRNA from 1 species